AAAUAGCAGUCAGGGCCUCCAACCUUUGAAGCAAAACAAUUCAAUUACCUCUGAAAUCACUUUCCAUUGUUCUCUAUUUCUCACCCCAAAAAAAAAAUGUCUGGCUGUGGAGGAAACUGUAACUGCGGCUCUGACUGCAAGUGCGACAGUAGCUCCAAAUGUGGGAUGUACCCUGACAUAGAGAACACCACCACUACAACCAUCCUCGCUGGCGUUGCACCACCAGUGAACAUGUACUCUGAGGGAUCGGAGAAGAGCUUUG